rnacentral:tRNA from 1 species
GGAGACGUGGGUGAGUGGCUGAAACCAGUUCCCUGCUAAGGAACCGUACUCUACUAGGGUACCGAGGGUUCGAAUCCCUCCGUCUCCGCCA